AUGAGCUUCUUGAAGGCAGGGGCAAAGGGAUUUGUGAAUCCUGGUCAUCAUCCUUCAGGUUCUGAUUGGCCUGAACUAUUCUGAAAUAAACCCGAACUCAGCAACAUAGAAAAUGUCAACUCUAAUCAAGAGCAAGUAUUUAAAAUUAUUUAUAUUCUGAAUCACAAUUUUCUGCCUUUUCUUGCAUCUGUGAAUAACCUUCUCGAGGCCUUUCUUGGACUUCACUCAUUGCCUGUACACAUACCGAGGACACAGGCUUAUGUCUGGGUUAUAGCUAUGUCUGCUUCUAAAUAAAAAUCAAUUACAUUUAUAAUAAUCUAUUGCUACAUACAGUACAUCUCCUCAUAACUUAGUAACUUUUUUAAAAGUGAUUUUUGUUUGCUUCUUACAGUGUGAUGGAUCUUGGGUUAGAUAAAAUAUAAUAGAAUGUUUCUCAUGUCUAUGAUGGACCAAAACAUUCAAAGGAGCCUCUUCCCUCUUCGCUUCCAUGCCUGAUGCCUCAGAGAGGGUGGCUCACAGUGUCAAGCAGACAAGUGGGAUGAUUUGCCUGGACUCCUGAGUACAGCAUUCUCAGUUUGCAGUGGCGGCUGGAUUCGAUGGUUCUCCUUCACAGAGCCUCAGUAUCUCUCUAUCUCUAUGUGGCCUCUCUGUGUGGAUCAGCUCAGGCACUUUAUAUAGCAGCUCGGGGCUCAAAAAGGCAAAAGGCAAACACUGCUAAUUUAUCUUUAAGGCUUCAGCCACUUUUACCACACUCUGCUGAGCAAAGAAAGACAAAGACCAGCCUGGAUUCAAGGGAAUGUGGCUACACGGAGAAGUGAUCACUUAAAGGGGUGACCCCAUAGGGGCAUCAGAAUAACACAUGGGAUCUGCCCAGGUUGCAAGGAAGGAGAGUUCUGCUUGCAAUUCCUUGCCUCUUCCUCCAUCUACCUGCUCCAGGUUGAAGUACAUCACCACUUGGGAGCAGCCAUGACAGUGCCUCAUGCUGGCUCUGAGGCUUCUACCCUGAUAGAUGUCUGUAUGGUUGUCUGUCUUGAUGACUAACUCCCACAUGCUCCUUCAAAGACUCAAGGGGGCCAACUGUGUUUCAUCAAGUUCCUUCUCUCUUCCAUCCAUGGUACCUCUGCUGAAACUGUUUCCAGCUACCACAGCCAAACGUGUGCUGUUAACAGCACUCCUGGUUUCUGAUAGGCCAACUGUUUGCAACAACAAGAACAACAACAAGAACAACCACCAAAAUACAGGACAGAGACACCACACUAUCUGCAGCUAUAGACAAGGGCAUCUGAAUCUUACCUGCUUUGGAAUAAUUCCAGGACAAGAUGUAAGGAAUAUUGGGGAUUUACCUAGCAAAAGGUAUCUGGAGAGGACACAGGAUCCUCGGCUGAGAGUCUCACAAGACCACAGUUGAGGUGGCCGUAGGACGGAUCUGCCCUAUCAACUGGAGGGCUGACUAGGCUGUAGAAUCUUGAAGAAAAUUCAAUCCGUUACAGAGAAAUAAAGGAACUACAUUUUCUUCCCGCAAUUGGAUUGUACAGGAACUGAGAAAGUGCUCAAGGACCCCAGAGUCAGUGACGGCUUGGAUCACUAUCUCCUCUGGACAAAGCCAUUGCCUUCCUGACCAUGCAUUCUGGAAAGGAUCAGAGCAGCCACAGAUACAAACGCCGUAGAGAAAGCGUCUGGUGAGAUAUCGCGGUGAGUAGAGAGAGGCACCUAGAUUCAGACAUGAUGAUCUAAGUUCAGUAAUGAGCUCCCGGGGCAGAAGAGAAUUGACUCUCAAGUGAGUUGUCCUCUGACUUCCAAGGGCACGCGUGUACUGCCACCAUCCAAAGAAAAUUAAUUACACAAAAUAAAAUAAAGCUGAGAAACCGAGAGGCUCCCUCUCUAGUAGGCCUUUAGUGUUUCAAGCAAGCUUCCAUGGAUCAUUUAACAGGCAAGUGUGUGGUGCCCAGGUGUGCAAGACUUUGCAUUAAAUAAAAGAUAAAGAGAUCUUGGCUCCAGGUAUCUCCUGUCUCUGACGCCUAGAGAUCCAAUAAUCAUCAAAGACUCUUUUCCUAGGCGGGCCCCCCAGGCAUUAAGUUCAGACAGCAUCUUUGCAAACUCAUGUUUUAUCUUAAUAAUCUAAAAGCCAAUUCCUUCAAAUUAUCUAUCAGAGGAAAGCCCCCCCCUAAGGGGGUCACCUUACUGUAACUUUUAAAAUCCAAACUGAUUAAUUUCUCAAAUAAAUAAUUUAAAUCUUAGACACGAAACCAUUUGGAAAAGAAUUCUCACUUGAAGUCAUUUCAUUCUAUACUUUUCGACACCAAUGGACUUCAUGAAAUACUAUGUUUAUCUGAUCUGCAACAUAAUAUCCAACAUGACCAACCAAAAGAGAAAGCAAGGCUUCACGGUGGCAGACGAAGUUGCCUUCUAACUGAGGAAGUGGGUACAGCUAAGACAGGCUUGCAGCCCUGUCAGUUGCUAAGACCUACAUAAAUGCUCCUGGUAGAGGAAAGUGUGAGAAUUUAGAUUCUAAGUCUAAAACUGUUAUCAGGCAGUAGAUUUGCUACCUAUCUCAGGUUGCUGAAACCCAGAAAAAAUGGAUCCUAACAGUGCCUUUGGGAUUUGGUGUCAGUUUGCCAUUUGUGAUUAUUGUAUCAAAUAUUUUGAUGGUUGAAACUGUCAACUUGACAGAAUCUAGAACCACCCAGGAGCUAACCAUCUGACUCCACUGUGAGGGGUUAUCUAGACUAAGCUAGCCUCUGGCCAUAUCUGUAUGGGAGUAUUUUGUUAGGCUAACUGAGAUGGGCAAACCCAACCUAAAAGUGGGUGGUUACCGUUCCAUGGGCUAAGAUCCUGGGCUACACGAGAGGAGAAAGGAAGCUGAGCACCGUUCACUGCUCCUGUCUUCCUGGCUGGGGAUGUAACGUGACCAGCUUCUUCAGGCUUUUCAGCCCGGCUUCCCUGCUACAAUGGACUAGACCCCAAAAACGUGAUGCCAAGCAAGUCUUUCAUUCUUGCUUUGUCAAGGAAUUCUAUCAAAGCAACAGGAAGACUAGAAGGGAUAGGUGUGGGCUGGCAUUCUAUAGCAGCUGUAGGAAAAGACAUGUGAGAGAGAGGUGUGUGGUGUACAUGAGGAGGAGGUAAGCGCGGAUCCCAGUCACUUUUUUGAAAAUCCUUUUAUUCAUUUACAUUUAAAAUCAUAUCCCUCUUCCUGGUUACCCCUCCACAAACUCCCCAUCUCAUCCCCUCUCUCCCUUUUGCCUCUCACCUACUCCCACCUCACCGUUCUAGCAUCCCCCCAUGAAGGGGCAUCAAGCCUCUAUAGGACCAAGGGCCUGUCCUUCCACUGAUGUCAGACAAGACCUUCCCCUGCUACACCUGGAGUCAUGGCUCCCUCCAAGUGUACUCUUUGGAUGGUUGUUUAGUCCCUGGGAGCUCUCGGGGGGUGGGGGGUCCAGUUAGCUGAUAAUGUUCUUCCUAUGGGGUUGCAAUCCUCUUUAGCUCCUUCAGGCCUUCCCCUAGAUCCUCCAUCAGGGUCCUUUGGCUUAGUCUAAUGGUUGACUAUGAGUAUAUGCAUCUGUAUUGGUCAGAUGCUGGUAGAACGUCUCAGGGAACAGCCAUACCAGGCUCCCGUCAGCAAGUGCUCCCUGGCAUCGGCAAUACUGCAGGGGUUUGGUGUCUGCAGGUAGGAUGGAUCCCUAGGUGGGACAGUCUCUGGAUGGCCUUUUCUUCAGUCUCUGCUCCAAUUUUUGUCUGUCUUUUCUUUGUACAGGAACAAUUCUGGGUUAAAAUUUUUGAGAUGCAUGGGUAGCCCCAUCCCUCAACUUGGGGCCAUGCCUGUCUACUGGAGGUGCUCUCCACAGCUGUAUCCACCGUCACUUCUUAGCUAACACCUGUGCCCCGCUAGUCUAGGACUUAGGAAUGAUGUCUUCUCACACAGUUUUGCAAUGGCUCCUCUGUACAAAGCUUUAGUCACUUCUUCUCUCAGUCUUUGGCUGAAUCUGACUUUCAGCUUCCCUUUACAGAAUCCCACCUGAGCAAGACUCCUAAGGGACUUUAACAAAAUCCCCACCCUCAGUGUCUGAGCACCCAGGGCUGGCCAACAUCGAGUUGGUUUAGCCACAAACUCCAUUUUUCUGGUUUUCUGCCUAAAUCAUCUCUCCCCUGUAUCACAUACACAUCUCCACUUGUCCCAAUUGAUAGUACUAAGUCCCAACUCUGUCAGACUCCUCUCAGUAGUCCUUGUGCCUAUUGUCACUUCUCAUGAAUAAAAUCUGCUUAAUGAUGUCAGAGUUAAGUGUAACCAUGUUGAGCUGAGAUUAAAUGAUUGACCUAUAAAAUUUAGUACAGCCUCAGACAUACCAACUCGCUAUUUUUGUCAUCACCACCAGUGCCACCUCUAUCCUUGCUAGACAAUGGAGUAUGGGUUGUUUUAAAGAAGUCCUAUUAAAGUGGUCAAUGAUUUACUUUUAGACUCUUAAGAGACAAAAUGGGAAUAGUCAGGAUGAUAAAUGAAGAGAUAGACAGACAGACAGACACACAGACAGUCAAAUUAUAGGAGAUAGAUAAGGAACAAUAGAGGAUGAAGAAGACAAUUCACGACUAGCAGAUGAUAGAUACACAGAUAGUUACAUAGAUACAUAGAUAUACAUAGAUAGAUGCAUACAUACAUAGAUACAUACAAACAUGCAUAGCUAUACACAGGUAGAUAGAUAAUAGAUACAUAGCUAUACAUACAUACAUAGAUACAUAGCUAUACAUAGAUAGAUGAUAGGCAGUAGAUAGAUGAUAGAUACAUACAUACAUAUAGUUAGAUACAUACAAACAUACGUACAUACAUACAUAUAGAAAGAUAGAGAUAGAUAGAAAGAUAGAUAGGUAAAUAGAUACAUAGAUAUACAUAGAUAUAGUUAGAUAAAUAGAUGAUUGAUAGAUAGAUGACACAUACAUAUACAUAUAUAGAGAGAAAGAUAGGUAGAUAUGCAGAUAGUCAAAUUAUAGGAGAUAAGUGAAAGAGAAUGAUGAAGAUGGUUAGAUCAGUAGAUGAUAGAUAGAUGGUUGAUAGAUGAUUUAGAGGGUACAAAUAGUGUUACUGUAACACUGUAAAGUAACAAAUGUUACUUUCUCUGUUAUGCGUUUCUUCUCUGAGACCUCAGAAUCUACAACCAACCACACUUAUUCUAAUUCCAAAUCAUCCAGUUACCAGCUGUUGUGAUGGUUGUCCGGCUGCCUGCCAUCCCCAAGUCUUGGGGCGGGGUGUUGUUUUUGUUUUUAUUUUCUUUCUAGAAAACAGAGAUGAUAGUAACAAGUCAUCCUAGGGCAUCAGAAGGAUCAAAGGAAUCUGCGGUCCGUUUAGUCCCCAGUUUUGUUGACACCAGUGUCAUUAGAGUCACAAGCUUGUCUCUCUGCCUUCAGGAAACUGAUCGGCAAGUCAGAUCCCCUCUAUGUACCUGUCGGAACAAACACUUUUAAAGGAACCUAGUCUCCUGCCACUUCACAGAUACAAAAUCUGAGUCACAUUUCACAAAUAGCAGGCACAGGGAUUCCUCAGAGCUUUGCCCUUCAAACUAGACCCCAAGCAUUUUACUCUGUUUUAAUUUCCAGGCCUACUGGAGGCCCAAGUCUUUGGAGUGUUCGGCUGGAAUGUUAAUUAUGGGAAAUUCCAGAAUCUGUGGCUUAGAAAUGAGUUCCCAUUUACCCUGUUGCCUGGCACUGGGGUCCCUCUCGCUUAGCCUUCAGAACAGCCACUCACUUUCCAAAGCCCACAAGACUGAAGCCAGAUGGCAAUGCAGCCCAAUCCUGCCGCUUCAGGCUCGCCUCCCUGUGCCAGCCCUGUAGCUCCAUCCUCUGGCACGGUCUCCAGGCACUAAGCACCCUCACCAGGUCUCAAAGAUGGCUCCAAAGAAAGCCCUCCUUUAUCCAACUUACAGAGAUGCAUUCAUGGUCUCUUGCUGCACCUGAGUCACUACCAACUAGGAGGCAAUGCAGAUCCACCCGCCAGGCCAAGCACCACCCACCUGUGUGAAAGAAAUAAUUUCUUCCUGUGCCUGCACCUUACCUCUCCUUCGCUCGUGGCAGUGGCUUUUGACAGCGUGCAAGGGAAUACUUUCCAGCAGAUUCCAUCAUUAGCAUGUCUGAUCCCCUUGCACAGCAUGCCAGUACGGGAAGUUCCUAAAGGGACCCAAAGCUUCCUGGAGACAGCCAUGUCCCCAUGGACUGGGUCCCUGACUUGCCCACUCUGCCACCUGAGUUCUUGACCUGAUAGAUUUGCAGGAGUCACAGAAAGGCCAGAUUUACUCCAUGGUUGGAGAUACUAAAGGUCUCCUCAGUAACAGGAAGCUUGAGGAAGCCUGGGGUAGUUGACUUUCAUAAAAGAAUGAGAGCAGAGGAAUAGUAUGAAUCCUUAAAUUUCCAUAAGUGGAAGCUGGGGAGACAGCUUAGUAAGUGAAGUGCUUCCUGUGCGAGCUCGAGAAUCCAAGUCCCGAUCGUCAGCAGUCAAGUAGAAAGCUGGACUUAGCAGAGUGUCUGUAAUCCCGGACAAGGCAUUGUGGCUAGGGAGACAAGCAAAUUCAUGGACUCCCUUGCCAGCCAGAGCUCCAAGAGACUCUGUCUCAAAAUACAUGCUGGAGCAUGGUGAGGAAGAUACCCAAUGUAAGCUUCUAGCCUUCACACAAGCAUUCGAGUACACACACACACACACACAAACACACACACACACACACACACACACACACACACACAUCUUUCACAACAUGAGAUGAGGACAACCUCAGUCAUUUCAACUGCCUUAACAUAUCCCCCUAGGCAAAAGGCUCCGUGUCCAAAAGCUAAUCUUGUAGAGCCUAUCAUUUUGAAGGACAAAGACACUAGAGAAUCCUAAUGGUAGGUGAAUAGGAUGGCAAACAUCAGUCGGAUCAUCCUCUGUCCUCAGAGUGAAGAGAGAUGAAGAGACAAGGGAUCCAUAGCUCGGUCCUAAAUGAAUCACGUGACUGGUGCCCUGUAUCAUCACAAGUAUGCAUGACAAGUGACUUUUGACUUUCACAAAAGAGUCUCAGUUUACCUUCUUUUUCGCCAAGGAAAGAAAAUGGAGGCCUUUGAGGGUCAAAUCAUUGGUCCUGGCUAGAUUUGGACAGGAAAAGACAAAGCAGACGUUGGUAGCUGCCUGGGUCCUUUCCUGACACUGCUUGCUCUGUAGAGUAAUUCCUAGGAUGAUGCCCAGGUGGCCGCGUCUUCUCUUCCCGCCCGCAGAUAACUAGUCUUUUUGACGAGGGAAAAAUGAAUAUUACUAGACUAACAGCCAGAGUCUCAGAAACCUUCAUCUUUUUUAUUCUGCUUCCAAGUGUUCAACUCCCCAAGAGUCAAGCAAUCUGCCUAGUGUACCAGAAAGCCACGUCCGUUUUUAUUGGGAGCUAUUUGAGGCGUAUCAGCAGCGUGCCAGACACUGUUCCAUGGUCCCCCAGAGCCUCACUCCUCACUUUGGACUGAUUUAUGCUCAAAACAAUUAUACACCCUGAAGCUUCACUCCUGGAGCCAGCAAAGGGGCACCCUAAGGGGCCCUGUGAGGACUGAUGUGUUUGAACAGUAUUUUUGUGGAUCUUUAAAAUGAGGCAUCCCAGGCCAACUCCAAGGCAAACUGGUUUUGUGCCUGUUUAUAAGCAAUGAGUCAAGACUGAUGGAGGAGGAUUCUGCAUACCACAGGACCAGCAUAGCAGAGCCCAGCGUGUUCUCAAGGCUAACUACAGUUCAUUCCCCAUUCAGAAUGCUUUCUGGUCACCCUGGAGUACACAGGGCUGAGGCCCUCAGUGCAAGUCUCCAUGGCACUCUGAACUGCCCAUGGUUCUGCCCCCACAGUCAGAGAUACAUUGUUAUAAGAAUCUGAGCAUGCGUAGGAGUUACAAAGUAUCGGCAUUGUCUAAAGCCACAGGGAAAACUGUAGAAAACUCGUGGUUGCCAUCGUCAGAAAGCUGUUUGAUUGACUACCAUGUUGGGCAGUUGCGUACCUGUCUACCUCCUUCUUGCAGAAGUAACCAGUUACGUGUUAUUAUUUGGAAUUAGCAUGAGGAUUGAUAUUCAACUCUAUUCACACAAACACAAACAGCCAUGUUUAAAAGUUACUGCAGAAGAAGCAGCAGGAAGAGGCCGCCCUCCCAAUAAGAGAGAUCUUAUCAGUGAAACAAACCAAAAGCUAAGACCUUAUAUCAAAAUUGAUGUAUAAAACCUGAUGCAAACACCCUAAGAUUAUAAUUAUAUUGACUGUCCUUCUGUGCCUGUGUGCAUGUGUGCGUGUGUGCGUGUGUGUUGUCAACUUGACACCAGCUAGAAUCAUUAGUGAAUACACCACUACCGCUGAGACAA